AUACGUAGGGGGCGAGCGUUGUCCGGAAUGAUUGGGCGUAAAGGGCGCGUAGGCGGCCGCUUAAGUCUGGAGUGAAAGUCCUGUUUUCAAGAUGGGAAUUGCUUUGGAUACUGGGGGGCUUGAGUGCAGGAGAGGUUAUCGGAAUUCCCGGUGUAGCGGUGAAAUGCGUGGAGAUCGGGAGGAACACCAGUGGCGAAGGCGGGUAACUGGACUGCAACUGACGCUGAGGCGCGAAAGUGUGGGGAGCAAACAGGAUUAGAUACCCUGGUAGUCCACACUGUAAACGAUGAAUGCUAGGUGUAAGAGGUAUCGACCCCUUUUGUGCCGGAGUCAACACAAUAAGCAUUCCGCCUGGGGAGUACGGCCGCAAGGUUGAAUCUCAAAUGAAUUGACGGGG
rnacentral:rRNA from 1 species